CCCGCUGAACUUAAGCAUAUCAAUAAGCGGAGGAAAAGAAACUAACAAGGAUUCCCCUAGUAACUGCGAGUGAACCGGGAAAAGCUCAAAUUUUGAAUCUGGCGGUCUUCAGGCCGUCCGAGUUGUAAUCUAGAGAAGCGUCUUCCGCGCUGGACCGUGUAUAAGUUUCCUGGAAUGGAACGUCGUAGAGGGUGAGAAUCCCGUCUUUGACACGGACUGCCAGGGCUAUGUGAUGCGCUCUCAAAGAGUCGAGUUGUUUGGGAAUGCAGCUCAAAAUGGGUGGUAAAUUCCAUCUAAAGCUAAAUAUUGGCGAGAGACCGAUAGCGAACAAGUACCGUGAGGGAAAGAUGAAAAGAACUUUGGAAAGAGAGUUAAACAGUACGUGAAAUUGCUGAAAGGGAAACGCUUGAAGUCAGUCGCGUUGUCCGGGGAUCAACCUUGCUUUUGCUGGGCGUACUUCCCGGUUGACGGGUCAGCAUCAAUUUUGACCGUUGGAUAAAGUCUAGGGGAAUGUGGCAUCUUCGGAUGUGUUAUAGCCCUUGGUCGCAUACAACGGUUGGGAUUGAGGAACUCAGCACGCCGCAAGGCCGGGUAUUCGUACCACGUUCGUGCUUAGGAUGCUGGCAUAAUGGCUUUAAUCGACCCGUCUUGAAACACGG
rnacentral:rRNA from 1 species